GACCGGGUGGCAGAAUGGCUAUGCAGGACCCUUGAAAAGCUCGCACGCCGGUUCGAUUCCGGCCCCGGUCU
rnacentral:tRNA from 1 species